GCAGUGCAGGGCGGUGAAGGAAUACACCCCUGUCCUAGGGCUGACACUCUAGGGGGGUGGACAGACAGACCCAGCAAACACUGCCUACAGGGCAUUGGGGGGCCGCGCAUGCGCGCUGUGGAAGCACUACCACCAGAUGGCUGGGGCCGGCUGGGGACAGCAGGAGCGCUGCAUGCAAGUUUAACUGGGUGAUUUCACUGAGGAGGGGACUUGUGAACCAAGCUCCGAAGCAGGCAAGAAGGAGUCACGUGGCACGUGGCGGAAGAGCAUUCCAGGCAGAGGGAACAGCCAGUGCAAAGCAUUGAGCUUUGUUAUCUGAAACGAGUACCACGAAAGGUGGAGUAACUGAGGCACUGAGCAAUGAAGUGGCUUGCCCACGUCGGCAAGAGGCAGCUGGUGGAUUUGAACCCAGGACUGCUUUCCGUGGAUCCAGAGACAGCCAGCGAGAGAGGGAGCACA